UACGAAGGGGGCUAGCGUUGCUCGGAAUUACUGGGCGUAAAGGGCGCGUAGGCGGCCGUUCAAGUCGGGGGUGAAAGCCUGUGGCUCAACCACAGAAUGGCCUUCGAUACUGGACGGCUCGAGACCGGAAGAGGUCAGUGGAACUGCGAGUGUAGAGGUGAAAUUCGUAGAUAUUCGCAAGAACACCAGUGGCGAAGGCGGCUGACUGGUCCGGUUCUGACGCUGAGGCGCGAAAGCGUGGGGAGCAAACAGG
rnacentral:rRNA from 1 species